UUACGCUGUUAUCCCUUAGGUAAUUUAGUCUUAUAAUCACCAAUAAUGGAUCUUUAAAAUUCAUAACAAUAACAGUAAAAACAUACGAGUUAUUUUUAUCUCGCUAUCAUCCCAACAAAAUAUAAUUCCCAGUUAAUUAACCCUCAUUCUAACCAAACUAAUUACAAAAUAUAUUAAACUCUAUAGGGUCUUCUCGUCCCAUGAAAACAUUUAGACCUUUUAUCUAAAAAUUAAAUUCUAAUAUAUUUAUACUAAGACAGUCUGCACUUCGUCCAACUAUUACAAUUAAUAGACUAAUGAUUACGCUACCUUUGCACGGUCGAAGUGCCGCAGAAAUUCAACUUAUCAAUGGGCAGGCCAUUCCUCCAGUUCACAACAUAGAAGAAAUGUUUUUGAUAAACAGGCG
rnacentral:rRNA from 1 species